GCAAACUUGGUCAUUUAGAGGAAGUAAAAGUCGUAACAAGGUUUCCGUAGGUGAACCUGCGGAAGGAUCAUUAAUGAAAAGUGGGUUGAUGCUGGUUCUCUUUGGGAACAUGUGCUCGCCUCUGAUAAUCCAUACACCUGUGCACCUUUGAGAGGGGUCGGAUAAAACCCUCCUUUCUCUUUUUCACAAACCCCUUUUAACCUCGAACGUGAAUUGUGCCGAAAGGCCUUUAAUCAUAAAUACAACUUUUAACAACGGAUCUCUUGGCUCUCGCAUCGAUGAAGAACGCAGC
rnacentral:misc_RNA from 1 species